GAUGAACGCUGGCGGCGUGCCUAAUACAUGCAAGUCGAGCGAACGGACGAGAAGCUUGCUUCUCUGAUGUUAGCGGCGGACGGGUGAGUAACACGUGGAUAACCUACCUAUAAGACUGGGAUAACUUCGGGAAACCGGAGCUAAUACCGGAUAAUAUUUUGAACCGCAUGGUUCAAAAGUGGAAGACGGUCUUGCUGUCACUUAUAGAUGGAUCCGCGCUGCAUUAGCUAGUUGGUAAGGUAACGGCUUACCAAGGCAACGAUGCAUAGCCGACCUGAGAGGGUGAUCGGCCACACUGGAACUGAGACACGGUCCAGACUCCUACGGGAGGCAGCAGUAGGGAAUCUUCCGCAAUGGGCGAAAGCCUGACGGAGCAAAGCCGCGUGAGUGAUGAAGGUCUUCGGAUCGUAAAACUCUGUUAUUAGGGAAGAACAUAUGUGUAAGUAACUGUGCACAUCUUGACGGUACCUAAUCAGAAAGCCACGGCUAACUACGUG
rnacentral:rRNA from 1 species